UUGGAGGGCAAGUCUGGUGCCAGCAGCCGCGGUAAUUCCAGCUCCAAUAGCGUAUAUUAAAGUUGUUGCAGUUAAAAAGCUCGUAGUUGAAUUUCGGGGUUAGUAGGUUGGUCAUGCCUCUGGUAUGCACUGGUCUCACUGAUUCCUCCUUCCUGAUGAGCCGUAAUGCCAUUAAUUUGGUGUUGCGGGGAAUUUGGACUGUUACUUUGAAAAAAUUAGAGUGUUUAAAGCGAGCUAACGCUUGAAUACAUUAGCAUGGAAUAAUGAAAUAGGACGUUCGAUCCUAUUUUGUUGGUUUCUAGGAUUGACGUAAUGAUUAAUAGGGAUAGUUGGGGGCAUUAGUAUUCAAUUGUCAGAGGUGAAAUUCUUGGAUUUAUUGAAGACUAACUACUGCGAAAGCAUUUGCCAAGGAUGUUUUCAUUAAUCAAGAACGAAAGUUAGGGGAUCGAAGACGAUCAGAUACCGUCGUAGUCUUAACCAUAAACUAUGCCGACUAGGGAUCGGAUGAUGUUAAUUUUUUAAUGACUCAUUCGGCGCCUUACGGGAAAC
rnacentral:rRNA from 1 species